rnacentral:lncRNA from 1 species
CAUGCACAUCAUCUGACAGUUAUUGGUAACAUGCACACCGAUGCAUAGGUAACUCUUUACCCAGAUGCUUCUCUAAAUAUAUUGCAGUGACUUGGUCUCUAAGUCAUAUAGGCUCACCUAACAGUUAUUGUCCAUAGUCUUUAGUUAAGCCCGACCCACCAUUCACAAGCAGGUACAAAACCGUCAUUGGGUCCCUCACCUAAUAGUUAUUAGGUCCAACCCCAUCUUUAUCUUGG